UCGUGAGCUUUUUAAUUUAACUUUAUAUUCCCUAAUUUUGUAUGUUGGUGUUGUCAUUACCUCUAAAAGACUCCUUAAAUAUAACACCAAACCUUUGGCAGCACUUGGUAAAGCUCGUCACUUAUAAGUAAUGUGCUCUUGAAUUAUCAUUGAUUUAAGUUUCUGUUUGCCGAUGGCAUUUAGUGAAUAGACCUGGUUGCAAAGGAUCCUAUUUUAACAUCAGUUUCGAUCAAAACAUUAGGUAUCAUGGCAGAGAGACAAAAAAUACUUGUUGCUGGGAAUGUCAAUGGCAACUUCAAAACCCUUUUCAAUAGAAUAAACUCAAUUGUUAAGAAAAAUGGUCCUUUUGAU